AUGGUCCUUUUCAAUCAGGGCACAGCUGUUGGCUUGCUCCAAUUCUGGCUUUCUGUCAUUGCUUUGGGUGCUUCAGCCGACUUUUGGUUUCUUGAGUGGCAAUUUCAUGAAUGGUUUCUGGGUCUGAGUUGGUUUUGCCUUCUUCCCUCCCAAAUUUUGUAUUCUGACGCAAUACAUACAAGAGUUUAGACAGAGGAUCCAUUAUGAAAUAAAAAACACAACCAGUUGGCGUGUCAUUCUUACAAAAGUCCAGACAGCACGACCAAGAUGAGCUUUUGUGUUUUGGAAAAAGAAAUGGAACCCUUUUGCAGAGGGGACCGAUAAUUCAUUCCCCUCAAAUCAACUUUGAUGGAAAUUUUCAGGUGAAUUCAAUUAGUUUCCAAAGCCAGUCAGCUGGUAUGGGUUGAUGAAUCCAGAAGUCGCUGGUUUCUUGGGACUAAAUCAAGCCCAAUAUCACAAAGGACUGUUGUAUUUCUUUGGCUUAUUUCACAUUUUUCUUAUUUAUCAUGGUUUGUAAAGAAUUUUUUGAUGUGAGCUUUGACUUUGAGGCUGGAAUAUGGAGUUCAAGGCACGGAAGGAAUGGUCCUUUUCAAUCAGGGCACAGCUGUUGGCUUGCUCCAAUUCUGGCUUUCUGUCAUUGUUUUGGGUGCUUUGGCCGACUUUUGGUUUCUUGAGCGGCAAUUUCCUAAACGGUUUCUGGGUCUGAGUUGGUUUUGCCUUCUUCCCUCCCAAAUUUUGUAUUCUGACGCAAUACACACAAGAGUUUAGACAGAGGAUCCAUUAUGAAAGAAAAAACACAACCAGUUGGCGUGUCAUGCUUAGAAAUCUCCAGGCAGCACGACCAAGAUGAGUUUUUGUGUUUUGGAAAAGGAAAUGGAACCCUUUUGCAGAGGGGACCGAUAAUUCAUUCCCCUCAAAUCAAGUUUCACGGAGAUUUUCAGGUGAAUUCCAUUAGUUUCCAAAGCCAGUCAGCUGGGAGGGGUGGAUGAUUCUGGAAACAGCCGGUUUCCUUGUGACUAAAUCAAGCCCAAUAUUACAAAGGACUCUUGCAUUUCUUUGGCUUGUUUCACAUUUUUUUCUUAUUUAUCAUGGUUUGUAAUGAAUUUUCUGAUGUGAGCGUUGACUUUCAGGCUGGAAUAUGGAGUUCAAGACACGGAAGGAAUGGGCUUUUCAAUCAGGGCUCAGCUGUUGGCUUGCUCCAAUUCUGGCUUUCUGUCAUUGUUUUGGGUGCUUCAACUGACUUUUGGUGUCUUGAGCGGCAAUUUCCUAAAUGGUUUCUGGGUCUGAGUUGGUUUUGCCUUCUUCCCUCCCAAAUUUUGUAUUCUGACGCAAUACAAAUAAGAGUUUAGACAGAGGAUCCAUUAUGAAAGAAAAAACACAACCAAUUAGCAUGUCAUGCUUAGAAAUCUCCAGGCAGCAUGACCAAGAUGAGCUUUUGUGUUUUGGAAAAAGAAAUGGAACCCUUUUGCAGAGGGGACCGAUAAUUCAUUCCCCUCAAAUCAAGUUUGACGGAGAUUUUCAGGUGAAUUCCAUUAGUUUCCAAACAUUGUCAGCUGGAAGGGUUGGAUGAAUCCGGAAACAGCCGGUUUCCUUGUGACUAAAUCAAGCCCAAUAUCACACAGGACUCUUGCAUUUCUUUGGCUUGUUUCACAUUUUUCUUAUUUAUCAUGGUUGUAAUGAAUUUUCUGACCUGAGCUUUGACUGUGAGUCUGGAAUAUGGAGUUCAAGACACAGAAGGAAUGGUCCUUUUCAAUCAGGGCACAGCUGUUGGCUUGCUCCAAUUCUGGCUUUCCGUCAUUGUUUUGGGUGCUUCAGCCGACUUUUGGUUUCUUGAGCGGCAAUUUCCUAAAUGGUUUCUGCGUCUGAGUUGGUUUUUGCCUUCUUCCCUCCCAAAUUUUGUAUUCUGACGCAAUACAAACAAGAGUUUAGACAGAGGAUCCAUUAUGAAAGAAAAAACACAACCAGUUGGCGUGUCAUGCUUAGAAAUCUCCUGGCAGCAUGACCAAGAUGAGCUUUUGUGUUUUGGAAGAAGAAAUGGAACCCUUUUGCAGAGGGGACCGAUAAUUCAUUCCCCUGAAAUCAAGUUUCAUGGAGAUUUUCAGGUGAAUUCCAUUAGUUUCCAAAGCCAGUCAGCUGGGAGGGGUGGAUGAUUCAGGAAACAGCCGGUUUCCUUGUGACUAAAUCAAGCCCAAUAUUACAAAGGACUCUUGCAUUUCUUUGGCUUGUUUCACAUUUUUUUCUUAUUUAUCAUGGUUUGUAAUGAAUUUUCUGAUGUGAGCUGUGACUUUGAGGCUGGAAUAUGGAGUUCAAGACACGGAAGGAAUAGGCUUUUUCAAUCAGGGCACAGCUGUUGGCUUGCUCCAAUUCUGGCUUUCCUGUCAUUGUUUUGGGUGCUUCAGCCGACUUUUGGUUUCUUGAGCGGCAAUUUCCUAAUGGUUUCUGGGUCUGAGUUUUUUUUUUGCCUUCUUCCCUCCCAAAUUUUGUAUUCUGACGCAAUACAAAUAAGAGUUUAGACAGAGGAUCCAUUAUGAAAGAAAAAACACAACCAGUUGGCGUGUCAUGCUUAGAAAUCUCCAGGCAGCAUGACCAAGAUGAGCUUUUGUGUUUUGGAAGAAGAAAUGGAACCCUUUUGCAGAGGGGACCGAUAAUUCAUUCCACUGAAAUCAAGUUUGAUGGAGAUUUUCAGGUGAAUUCCAUUAGUUUCCAAAGCCAGUCAGCUGGGAGGGGUGGAUGAAUCCGGAAACAGCCGGUUUCCUUGUGACUAAAACAAGCCCAAUAUCACAAAGGACUCUUGCAUUUCUUUGGCUUGUUUCACAUUUUUCUUAUUUAUCAUGGUUUGUAAUGAAUUUUGUGAUGUGAGCAUUGAUUUUAAGACUGGAAUACGGAGUUCAAGACAUGGAAGGAAUGGUAAUUUUCAAACAGGGCACAGCUGUUGGCUUGCUCCAAUUCUGGCUUUCCGUCAUUGUUUUGGGUGCUUCAGCCGACUUUUGGUUUCUUGAGCGGCAAUUUCCUUAAUGGUUUCUGGGUCUGAGUUGGUUUUGCCUUCUUCCCUCCCAAAUUUUGUAUUCUGAUGCAAUACAAACAAGAGUUUAGACAGAGGAUCCAUUAUGAAAGAAAAAACACAACCAGUUGGCGUGUCAUGCUUAGAAAUCUCCAGGCAGCAUGACCAAGAUGAGCUUUUGUGUUUUGGAAAAGAAAUGGAACCCUUUUGCAGAGGGGACCGAUAAUUCAUUCCCCUCAAAUCAAGUUUGAUGGAGAUUUUCAGGUGAAUUCCAUUAGUUUCCAAAGCCAGUCAGCUGGGAGGGGUGGAUGAAUCCAGAAACAGCCGGUUUCCUUGUGACUAAAUCAAGCCCAAUAUCACAAAGGACUCUUGCAUUUCUUUGGCUUUUUGCACAUUUUUCUUAUUUAUCAUGGUUUGUAAUGAAUUUUCUGAUGUGAGCUUUGACUUUGAGGCUGGAAUAUGGAGUUCAAGACAUGGAAGGAAUGGGCUUUUUCAAUCAGGGCACAGCUGUUGGCUUGCUCCAAUUCUGGCUUUCUGUCAUUGUUUUGAGUGCUUCAACUGACUUUUGGUGUCUUGAGCGGCAAUUUCCUAAAUGGUUUCUGGGUCUGAGUUGGUUUUGCCUUCUUCCCUCCCAAAUUUUGUAUUCUGACGCAAUGCAAAAAAGAGUUUAGACAGAGGAUCCAUUAUGAAAGAAAAAACACAACCAGUUGGCGUGUCAUUCUUACAAAAGUCCAGGCAGCAUGACCAAGAUGAGCUUUUGUGUUUUGGAAAAAGAAAUGGAACCCUUUUGCAGAGGGGACCGAUAAUUCACUCCC